GAAUCUUGCUCCUGCGCACAAUAAUUUCAAUAGCAAGCUUUUCUUUCAAAAUCCCAAAUCCUUCUCAAUUCAAAGCUUCUCAUAAUGGUGUUUUCUUCUUUCAUCCAGAGGGGAGAAAGCCUUCUGUAGCCAUGAAUGCCGAUACCAAGAGAUGCUUUUCGACGAAGGGAUAGAAGAUUGCUUGCCGAUGGAUAAUUCUGUAACUCUCUAGCACAAGCUCAGUUCUUGGCUUCUGUCUACCUCUCCUUUCCUUAUGGUUGAAAUCAAAACUAGGAAUUAAACCAUGGUGAAUGUGUUUAUGUAAUUUCCUUGUUGUAAAGUUUAUUGGGGGUUGCUCAUUUUCAUCAAAUUGGAAGAAAAUGUUGUUUGCAAGUUUUGCUAGAGAUCUUCACCAGUGUGACGUAGGGUUUCUAAACUUUUUGGCUUGAGAGAAUAAUGUUUUGCUGCUGAUUGAGAGCGCAAACUAUGAAGUGCGUAUACCGUAGUGUGAAUUUUUUUUUUUAUCCCUCCACCUUCAUCACAACUUUGAAGCAUCUACCAAAAUUCUAGGUUUUGCAAGAGAGAUUAUACAAAUACUUUGCUUAUGUCACUGAGUACUUUCUUUUUCUUUAGAGGAUUAUGACAUGUAUAUAGUUUGUCUAAUCAAACAAUCAAGUGGAGCUGGAUGAAAUAAUUUGCUUUUUGCUUGCACUAA